AUGUCGGGCACCGUCUGCUCCAUGUGCGGCGACGUCGGUUUCCAGGACAAGCUCUUCGGCUGUGCCCGCUGCCGCUGCCGCUUCCAGCACUCCUAUUGCACGAACUACUACGGCGACGCGGCCCCGGCCGACGCGGGCGCCGGCGUCUGCGACUGGUGCCUCAGCGACGACCCCCUCGUGAAGAACAAGCGCCCUUCGGCGCCGCCGGCCAUGCAGCACCGCGGUCACGCGACUGGGAUGGGCUGCGGCAAAGUCAAGGUGACCGGCGGCGGCGAGCAGGAGGGCGGCCGGAGAGUGGCCAAGGCGGCCGUCCGCAGGUACAAGCUCCUCAAAGACGUCCUGUGCUAG
rnacentral:rRNA from 1 species